GAUGAAGAACGUAGCGAAAUGCGAUAAGUAAUGUGAAUUGCAGAAUUCAGUGAAUCAUCGAAUCUUUGAACGCACAUUGCGCCCAUUAGUAUUCUAGUGGGCAUGCCUGUUCGAGCGUCAUUACACCACUCAAGCUAUGCUUGGUAUUGGGCGUCGUCCUUAGUUGGGCGCGCCUUAAAGACCUCGGCGAGGCCACUCCGGCUUUAGGCGUAGUAGAAUUUAUUCGAACGUCUGUCAAAGGAGAGGAACUCUGCCGACUGAAACCUUUAUUUUUCUAGGUUGACCUCGGAUCAGGUAGGGAUACCCGCUGAACUUAAGCAUAUCAAUAAGCGGAGGA
rnacentral:misc_RNA from 1 species